AUUCCUACGGGGGGCAGCAGUAGGGAAUCUUCCACAAUGGACGAAAGUCUGAUGGAGCAACGCCGCGUGAGUGAAGAAGGGUUUCGGCUCGUAAAGCUCUGUUGGUAGUGGAGAAAGAUAGAGGUAGUAACUGGCCUUUAUUUGACGGUAAUUACUUAGAAAGUCACGGCUAACUACAUGCCAGCAGCCGCGGUAAUACGUAGGUGGCAAGCGUUGCCCGGAUUUAUUGGGCGUAAAGCGAGUGCAGGCGGGUCAAUAAAGUUUAAGUGAAA
rnacentral:rRNA from 1 species